AUCGUUAUCGUGGAUAACCGAAAAAAUUGGAACGAUAUACAGAACAUUAGCAUAACCCCUAUUCAAUGAUGACACACAAAUCGAGAAUUAGUAAUUUAAAAUUU